rnacentral:rRNA from 1 species
CCUACGGGCUGCAGCAGUAGGGAAUCUUCGGCAAUGGACGAAAGUCUGACCGAGCAACGCCGCGUGAGUGAAGAAGGUUUUCGGAUCGUAAAACUCUGUUGUUAGAGAAGAACAAGGGCGUUAGUAACUGAACGUCCCCUGACGGUAUCUAACCAGAAAGCCACGGCUAACUACGUGCCAGCAGCCGCGGUAAUACGUAGGUGGCAAGCGUUGUCCGGAUUUAUUGGGCGUAAAGCGAGCGCAGGCGGUUUCUUAAGUCUGAUGUGAAAGCCCCCGGCUCAACCGGGGAGGGUCAUUGGAAACUGGGAGACUUGAGUGCAGAAGAGGAGAGUGGAAUUCCAUGUGUAGCGGUGAAAUGCGUAGAUAUAUGUAGGAACACCAGUGGGGAAGGCGGCUCUCUGGUCUGUAACUGACGCUGAGGCUCGAGAGCGUGAGGAGCAAACAGGAUUAGAUACCCGGGUAGUC